rnacentral:rRNA from 1 species
UGGGGAAUAUUGCACAAUGGGCGCAAGCCUGAUGCAGCAACGCCGCGUGAGGGAUGACGGCCUUCGGGUUGUAAACCUCUUUUAGUAGGGAAGAAGCGAAAGUGACGGUACCUGCAGAAAAAGCACCGGCUAACUACGUGCCAGCAGCCGCGGUAAUACGUAGGGUGCGAGCGUUGUCCGGAAUUAUUGGGCGUAAAGAGCUCGUAGGCGGUCUGUCGCGUCUGCUGUGAAAACCCGAGGCUCAACCUCGGGCCUGCAGUGGGUACGGGCAGACUAGAGUGCGGUAGGGGAGAAUGGAAUUCCUGGUGUAGCGGUGGAAUGCGCAGAUAUCAGGAGGAACACCGAUGGCGAAGGCAGUUCUCUGGGCCGUAACUGACGCUGAGGAGCGAAAGCGUGGGGAGCGAACA